AAAGGAAUUGACGGGGGCCCGCACAAGCGGUGGAUGAUGUGGAUUAAUUCGAUGCAACGCGAAAAACCUUACCUGGUCUUGACAUGUAGCGAAUCCUGCAGAGAUGCAGGAGUGCCCGAAAGGGAGCGCUAACACAGGUGCUGCAUGGCUGUCGUCAGCUCGUGUCGUGAGAUGUUGGGUUAAGUCCCGCAACGAGCGCAACCCUUGCCAUUAGUUGCCAUCAUUAAGUUGGGCACUUUAAUGGGACUGCCGGUGACAAACCGGAGGAAGGUGGGGAUGACGUCAAGUCCUCAUGGCCCUUAUGACCAGGGCUUCACACGUCAUACAAUGGUCGGUACAGAGGGUUGCCAACCCGCGAGGCGGAGCUAAUCUCAUAAAACCGAUCGUAGUCCGGAUCGCAGUCUGCAACUCGUCUGCGUGAAGUCGGAAUCGCUAGUAAUCGCGGAUCAGCAUGUCGCGGUGAAUACGUUCCCGGGCCUUGUACACACCGCCCGUCACA
rnacentral:rRNA from 1 species